CAGAAAUUUAUUCUAUGUUUAAAUCUUUUUGUAUAGAGGAUGCUCAACCCCUUUUAUCAGGAUCUCAACCUCUUGUCUAUUGGUACUGGACCUCUGGAAGAGAUAAGUUUGAUUUCAUUGAUUGCAGAGGGAAUGUUUGUGAAAAAUUCAAAUUGUGCAAUGUAGCCAACAACCUGCAGUUUAUGAUAAUGCACAAUUUAUGAUAAUGAUGAUAUUAUAUCAUUAAUGUAAUGCAUGUAUUGUACAUGCAGGAUAUACCGUAAAUCUCCAAAUAUAAGCCCCCCAUGUAUAAGUCCCCCCCCAUGUAUAAGCCCACCACAUGUACUAACGCUCACCUCAUUCCAAAUAUAAGCCCCCCCCCCUGAAUAUAAGCCCACCCAAAUAUAAAUAAGCCCACUUGUUU
rnacentral:lncRNA from 1 species